rnacentral:lncRNA from 1 species
UGGGCAUUAGCAAAAGAUUUUGAAAUUGUUAACUCAGAACCUUUAUCCAUUGCAUGUGACAAAUAUAUAGGUGCAUCAAGUUUAAUAGAACACAAAGAAUUAUUAGGCGGAACCAUAGGAAACACUUCUUCAUGUUUAAUUAAUUCAAUGCAACAUAAAUCAAAUUUAAUCAUUGCGUCACAAGUCUGUUCCAAGACAGCAGGUAACUCAUCACAUAAAUCAUUAUCAUUUGAAUCAAUGGGUGCGCUCAAAUCAGCAUGUAAAUCAACAAUUUCACAUGGUGCAGAAAAUUCAACGGGUAUCUCAUUUAUUUCAUCACAUGUCAUAUUUUGUUCAGCAACACAAUCAUCUUUAUCAUUACCUUGUAGGCUCAACACGUUUCUUGUACACCUUCUCUCCAAUUUCCUCUCCGCUUCAAGAGCAAGAUUAAGCAAACACAAUAGAGAGUCGUACUUUCCGUAUUCAAUUAUGUAAGAAAUAUCAAAGUUAAGCCCACAAUAAAACCUAUCCAUUUUUCUUUGUUCGGUUUCAUCUAAACCAGAUCGCAAGGUUAAAAUUUGGAACUCAUGGUAGUAAUCAUCAACAGUUUUAUCAUCUUGUGUCAAACGUCGUAAUUUGGAACGCAACUCAUAAGCAUAACUUGGAGGAACAUAUUUUUCUCUCAUGAUUUUCUUCAUAUCAAUCCAAGUGUGAGGUAUUUUGUUUUCUCUAACUAUCUCACACCACCAUGAUAAUGCAUCAAAACAAAAUUUACUACUAGCAAUUUGGACCUUACGACUAUCUAGUACAUGGAAGCAUGUGAAUUGUUCAGUUAAAGCUAGCUCCCAAUCUAUAUACGUUUCAGCAUCAUUUUCCCCCUCAAAGAAAGGUACACACAAUUUAAUUGUAUUAGAAGGAUUGUUUUGUACCGUUGCCGUGGCAUUAUGAACAAGAGACGUGGAGGAUGGUCGUGGUGAAAAGCACUCAUCGCGGUCACGGGAUAGCAUCGGUCUAGUUGCCAUGCUUCGUGUAAGUCCUGUCAUGGUUAGUAGAAAACAAGAAACAAAUCACAGUAAUAUGUUCCUAUGAACUACUAGGAUGUGGCUACAAGUCGCUCAACUCUCAAGCUAAAAAUCAAGUUCUUACAAGUUCUUACCAUGCAAAACAGGAAGGUGAUGGCCAGCGGCGUGACCAAGCCCUCCGAAUAUUAAAUGUAUCGAUGCCUCGGUAACAAACCAACCUAGGUGUAGAAUCUGUGGAGCUUGGAGGCUUUUGUGAGUAGCAAAGAAUAGCAAAUAAUCAAAUCAGCAAUGCAAAGUUGAAAAUAUGCUCAAUAAUGCUAGUCCUAGCUGCUGGAGUCGAUAAGAACGAAUUACAGAAAUAAUCUAAGCCUAGAUACUGAAGAAGGUAGGAUAGAAAGAUGGCACAAGAAGUAAAUCCCUGGGAUUUUUUUUCUUUUUUUUUUUUGUGGCCUUCUGUUUGGCUUCUUAUUCUUUUCUUCUUCUUUUUUUUCUUUUUUUUCUUUUUUUACCCCAGAAACUCACGCAAAAGAAGGACCGGAAAACUGUACGUCGGUCUGUCGAAGAACAGCAAAGGCUGCAAUAAGAAAAAUUCAGAAAAAUAUGGAAAAAUAUGGAAAAAUGGAUAGGUUUUAUUGUGGGCUUAACUUUGAUAUUUCUUACAUGAUUGAAUAUGGAAAAUACGACUCUCUUUUGUGUUUGCUUAAUCUUGCUCAUAAAGUUGAGAGGAAAUUACAGCGAGGGUCUACUACAAAUGAGUCGAGCCCACAAGGUAAAGAUAAAGAUGAUUGUGUUCCUGAACUAAAUAUGACAUGUGACGAAAUAAAUGAGAUACAUGUUGAAUUUUCUGGACCAUGUGAAAUUGUUGAUUUACAUGCUGAUUUGAGUGCACCUACUGCUGAAAUUAAUUCUUCUAAUGAUUUGAGUGCACAUAUUAAUUUUGAUAUUGAUGAGAAUGAAUAUUGUGAGGAAAUAGCUAAUGUUUUGGGAGAAGCAUGUGAUGUAGAUAAAUUUGGUUUAGGUUGUGUCGAGUUAAUUACACAUGGAGUGAUUGAGAACGAUCCACCUAAUAAUUCUUUGUGUUUUAUUAAACUUGAUGCACCUAUAUAUUUGUCACAUGCAAUGGAUAAAGUUUCUGAGUUAACAAUUUCAAAAUCUUUUGCUAAUGCCCAUGGAUACAGUAUUCAAUUAAUUGGAGAACAUGAUGUCAACAAUAAAUUUUGGGUGCAUCAGAUUUGCAUUGCUUGUGAUAACUUUCUUGAUUUGAGAGACAACAAUAUUUGGCAUAUGCUCAAUCAUUUUGAUAUGACCUCUAAUAUUGGUGAUAGUUGUAUGACAAAUAACUUGUGGCAUGAUUGCACAUUGACGCAUAUUGUAACUCGCCAUUUGCUAAUUUUGAAUUAUUGUUCACCUCCAUUAGGAUGGUUUAAUGAUGAGAAUUACAAAUUAAAAUGUGAUACUUGCCGUUGGAAUAUGACUAUUAAUCUUUUGAACUAUUAUGAGUUUUAUUUAUGUGAAACAUCGAAUGUGCAGCAUGGGAGUGGAGUUAAAAUUGAUGACAUAUACAUAUACCAUGCACACACUUUGUCUAUUUUGUCAGUCUCUUUUCAGCACAAACGACGCCGAGGACGGCUUUCCUUUCAAGAAAGGGAGGAUGAUAUGGACAUGCUAACCAUGGAUACAACCAUUAGAACCCUAAUUGUUGGUGUAUCUAAUAACAGUUAUAAUCAGGUGAAUUCAAUUACAAAAUGUUUUCAAUAGGUUACUUGCAAAGAGGCGGAGCUACUAUCUUGUGUAAUCUUAUUAUGUAGGCAUCUUAUUGAACUUUACAAGUCCAAAGUGAAGAUGAAGUGUGAUAGCCUGCAAAGGGAGAUUCAAAGUGAAGCCUAUCAAGUCUACUUUCCAACAAAUUAAACGGCACAUGAUUCGGAGCUUGCUAGAGAAAGAUAUCACGAAUUAAAGUUGAAUCCGAUUCGGGUCCGAGCUGUCAGGAGACCCGAAUUUGUUUUAAUCACCCAGGCCGCAUCCGGAGUCCAAAUCAAGCAAACAAGUACUUGUUGGAAAGGUAAUUACAAGACCUUUCCAACGGAUCUGGCCCCAUCAAGAGAUUGGACUCGUGCUGACCGUGACGGACGAAACAAGCUGACGUAUCUGUUUUUCUGUUUCCUAAAGAGUUGUAGUUUGUUAGGAAAGUUAGAGAUAGAGUUGGAUUUCGGCCUCCUUACUCAAGGUGGACGAAAAUAUCUCUCCCUCCUCCUUUAUAUACCCCAUGAGCCCCCCUAAGGAGCCUUGGGUUUUGUUUAGUUAAAAGUUAGCCAUCGCUACUACUUCGUGUAAUCGCGUGUGUCGGUUAGACCACCUGUUUUACCGCUUUCGGAACCCCAACUUAUCGUCUCGUUGAGACAUUGGUUUGAUAUAGUAUAUUCGCAAUUUUAGAUUGCAUCCGCUAUUUAUCUUGUUCUUGCUUGUUCUUCGAUUGCUUGCAGGAACAAAGACCUUCGUGGUCAGGUUGAUCGUGCCCCCGCGUGAUCAGUAACCCUCUGGAGUUGGUGUAUCGAUUGCUAAGGCGCUGCCUGCUAGGCCGUAGUCGGAUCGUCAACGUCACCUCCUACCCAAAUCGAGAGUUAUCAAUCUCAUCGAAAGAUCGGGCCACCCCGACCCGUAUCAGCAUCGCAACGCCGGCAUGAAGGGAGGAGACCCCCGGCGGGAACUGUGUUGAUUGGAAGGUCUCGCCAGAGAUCCCCCUCACCCACGUCCUGAGGGUCUCCAAGUCCAUGCCGUCCUGCUGGAGGCGUGUUCUGUCCCCGGGACCCGUGUACAUCCACGCGGGCCGGGAGCGCAGUUGCAGCGGCGCGAUACGCCGGUGGACGAAGGUGCGCGCCCUGAUAUGGACAUGCUAACCAUGGAUACGACCUUUGGUACCCUCAAUUCUAUAAUAUUUGACAAGAUUUAUAAUCAGGUGAAUUCAAGUAGUAAUUGUUUUCAUUGUCAUACUUAUGAAGAGGCGGAGCUACUACUAUCUUGUCUCGUUUUAUUACGUAGGCAUCUUGUCGAGCUUUUCAAGUCCAAGGUCAAGAUGAGAUACGGUGGAGGCGAAUGGGAGGGCCAACAAGAAUCAAGCAUUCAUACAGCUGAGAGGGAAGGAUUUCAAGUGUACUUUCCAACAAAUCAAACGGCACAUGAUUCGGAGCUUGCUAGAGAAAGAUAUCACGAAUUAAAGUUGAAUCCGAUUCGGGUGCGACCUGCCAAGAGACCCGAAUUUGUUUUAAUCACCCAGGCCGCAUCCGGAGUCCAAAUCAAGCAAACAAGUACUUGUUGGAAAGGUAAUUACAAGACCUUUCCAACGGAUCUGGCCCCAUCAAGAGAUUCGACUCGUGCUGACCGUGACCGACAAAACAAGCUGACGGAUCUGUUUUUCUGUUUCCUAAAGAGUUGUAGUUUGUUAGGAAAGUUAGAGAUAGAGUUGGAUUUCGGACUCCUUACUCAAGGUGGACGAAAAUAUCUCUCCCUCCUCCUUUAUAUACCCCAUGAGCCCCCCUAAGGAGCCUUGGGUUUUGUUUAGUUAAAAGUUAGCCAUCGCUACUACUUCGUGUAAUCGCGUGUGUCGGUUAGACCACCUGUUUUACCGCUUUCGGAACCCCAACUUAUCGUCUCGUUGAGACAUUGGUUUGAUAUAGUAUAUUCGCAAUUUUAGAUUGCAUCCGCUAUUUAUCUUGUUCUUGCUUGUUCUUCGAUUGCUUGCAGGAACAAAGACCUUCGUGGUCAGGUUGAUCGUGCCCCCGCGUGAUCAGUAACCCUCUGGAGUUGGUGUAUCGAUUGCUAAGGCGCUGCCUGCUAGGCCGUAGUCGGAUCGUCAACGUCACCUCCUACCCAAAUCGAGAGUUACCAAUCUCAUCGAAAGAUCGGGCCACCAGCACCCGUAUCACGCCCAGUCCACAUCGGUGAGCCCCGCUAGCCGCAGCGUCUUGAUUUUCUCCAUGAUGGGGAGGAGAUCGGCGUCGCAGUGGUACUUGUCUUGCCAGCCGCUGUGGGGUUGCGGCAGCUCUGUGGGCACGAGGAUGAACUCUUGGGGGUCCUCCACUCGAAUCCAGCAGCAAUCGCCCCACCACUCGUUUUCAAUCUUCUUCCCUGACCGGACGAUGAACUGGGACUUCAUCUGGUCGCCGGCGCGGAACACCACCCCCGACGACAUCGCCUUCCCGUUGUCAAUGCGGGGGUAGAAGUAGUAGCGGAAGAGCCCCACCGACGGCAUCACCCCCACGAACGCUUCGCAGAGGAAUUGGAAGGUGGCGAGGAGGAACAUCGACGUGGGGUGGAGCUGCGCCACCCGCAGCUGGUAGGACUCCAUCAGUGCGUGGAGGAAUAGCGAGAAGGGCGGCACCAGGCCGGUGAGGAGGAAGCGUGCGAACACCCGGAAGUCAUUGUCCUGGUGCUCGGCGCCCGCCGGGAAGAUCAGCGUCUCCCCGUGCUCGUUGAAGUUGGAGGCGACGGCAUGCCGGACCUUGUCCAGCGCCUCGCCGUUGUAACCCGGGCGGUAGAAGGCGAGCGUGGCCCGCAUCUCCCGCUUCUUCUGGUCCUUGGCGGCGGCUGCCUUGGUUGCCGCCUCACUCUUUCUGGUGGUGGGGGGCGCCAUGGGGAACGAAGGCGAAAGCUAGCAGGAGCGCUGGGGUGCGAGAUGCGAAAGAGGAUGAAGACGAAGUCUUUGGGAGGCAGAGUGUCUUUCCCCUUUUGGCAACACUAAAGAGCCUUAUAACACCCGGCCGUUUGGUAACGGCCGGUUCCAUACCCUACGAGUGCGCGGGGAUAACUCUUAAUCAUUAGGAGUAAUGCGCGGAGUGACCUUAACUUCCCUGUUUAAGGGGGGGGGGGAGUAAGGGCGGAAAUCACGCGCCCACUACUCCGUCUGUAACGGCGUAGUGCCAGGCGCAACGAAGGGACGCGGGCCCGAGGCGAAUCGGGGCCAACGCGUCGAUUGAGGGCGUAGCCCGGCAACCGACCUGGGGAAGACCCAUCCGGGAACAGGUGAUGCCGGCCCACGCCCGGGGGCUACUGUCGCACCAGUGGCACCCGGGGUACCACCGCCGCACGACGCGUGGGCCCCGUCUCCGAGUUCCCGGAAGGACUUCGUCCCGGGCAGCAGCUACUAGCAGCCCGGCAAGCCACCAGCCCGGAAGGGCUAGCGGGGCUUCGGGGAUAUUCCCACCUGGGCGCCUCCCGGGAAGCCGCUUCCCGGAAGGGGGGGGGGGGUUCCCGGGUGCGUUGGACCUGGGCGCUUCCCGUGGAGCGACUUGCCGAGAGAAGGGGUUCCCGGGCGGGGGCUCCCGCCUCAAGGGUGGGGCCCAGCGAGCAGAGCAACUGCGCCACGCGGACGCGUGGCGGGCGUCGGGUGCGCGGCCUCACCAGGGAGAGGAGUGAGGCGCACGGCUCAUUAAAUGAGCCGACAGGAGGAGCGUUACCCGUCCGAUCAGGUGAACAGUGGCUGUCCAAUCCUACCCUAGGGUUUUAGACCCCUAGCAGCAGAGGUGGCGUCCAUGUGAGCCACCAGCUCACCGAGAGGGAGUUGUAUGCCUCCCCGUUCGACACUUGUAAUCCAUGCACCGUGGCAGCUAUGGUAUCCCCUUGGUUAUGAAAGGAGGACCCCCGCCGGUGGUCAAGGGGUUCUGGUUCUGUUCGAUUAAGUCCACAACUAGCCCUAGUCCAAGAAGAGCAAGUAGCGUUUCGCAAGAAAGGAGAGAGUGCCCGGGGACCUUUCCCCCGGCGAGGUGUAAACACUUGCUUCAUAAUCAAUACAAGCUCAGACAGGCAGGACGUAGGGUUUUACACCUCCGGGUGGCCCGAACCUGGGUAAAACGUGCGUGCAUGUGUCCCUAGCUUGCAUGCAUUCUGGGUGCACCUCUUUGCAGGUUACGUACGCCAUCGGCCACGCCGGCGAUCACCGGAGCAAUCCCCGACGCCCCCUGCUGAACCUGAAAAGGGGGCCUUGACCGCACGCCCCCGGUGUCGGAGCCCUGCGCGACGACACACCCGCUUCGGCGGGUACUCGAGAACCUUUGUCUUGGGACGGGAAAAGCAUAUUGCGCUUUGCAACGGACUGGGCGCCCUCGCCGGGAAGGGGCUCCCCGCACCUCGCGCCCGGGCCUACAAGUGUGGACAGCGGAACAGUGAAGACAGGACGAGACAGCGGACGGAGUGCAUUUAAUGCACCGACAUGAGUCACAUCGGCAGGGCUAGGCUUGCUCAGCAAGGCUAGAGCGGCUACCCUACAAUUCAUUUUAUUUACCAUGUACAGUGGCCUCUGUGCUGCAUGAAGCCCAGCAUGGAUCAACAGUAAUGUGAAGCUUGUGGCGAGGACACACAGGGUGGAACGUGUCACGCUGCAUGCAUGGGCACCUGUGGUAUCCCCUUGGCUAUAAAACGAGAACCAAUGCCACCGGUCAAAGGGUUCCAACUCUAUGCAAUGGAAGGUAGCUUUGUAUUCACCUAAGUAGCAAGGUUCCUUAGAGGGACAAGUAGCUAGCCCAGGGACUCCCCGGCAACCUAUACACAUCUAAACUCAUGAAUACAACUCGAAGCAAGACGUAGGGUGUUUCACCUCCGGGUGGCCCGAACCUCGGUAAAUCUCGUUUUCGACACUUCGUGUCUUUAGCCACACCGGCGAUCGCCCGAGCGAUCCCCUCGCCCUCCACCAAACCAAAAUGGGGUUGUCCAACAUCCCCGGUGCUUGAGUCCCAUGCUCCAACGGAUCCCGUCGCCCUCCACCGAACCAAAACAGGGGUUUCCAACAUCCCCGUUGCCGGAGUUCCGUACUCCAACAUCUUGCGCACUAGGUAGGGGGCAUGCAGAGAACUCCGUGUGACCGCUGGCGUCGUCGUCUUCGACGUCAUCUUCGUUAGCUCGCCAUGCCGCCCAAAAACGCAGACGAGCCCUGGGUUGACUUGCGCGAUACACUCACCAUGCGCACUCGGUCCCACGACGCCUCCAGGGCGUCUCGAGAUCACGGGGACCAAGUGUAACCCAGCAGCAACAACCCCAGCAGCAGCCGCUGCUUCCUGCUCGGGCGUUAGCGGACCACCGCCCGAGGGGACCUACGGCGCCUAGCGCCGGAGCCAGCUGCACGAGCGACGUCAACAUCGCGCCUGCCUGCCAGCGAGGUCGCUCGUGGGCUGAAGAUAAGCGAUAACUGUCGUGCCACGACCAGAGUGCGUCGCAUGCGACGCCAGUUGGUGAACGGGGGGAUGGCAGCAGGUCAGGGAACCGACAGCCUCCCGCCCAGACCCCGACAAAGGCUUUAAUUUUCGUGCGUGUCAUGGUGCGCUACGAGCCACCGCAGGCCACGCCGGCUCAUGACGCGUGGAGCGCUGAGCUGGACGCGCUCCUCGCACUUGCCGAGGCCAGAACCCGGGACGCGGGAUCCUCCUCGCACCUCGGGGCCAGGACAACGUCCUCCACCCGCUAGGGGACAAGACGGUGAGGACUCCGGGGAUUAGUCGGAUUCGUCACCGACCGUCACGCAAGGUGAUGAUAUGGACAUGCUAACCAUGGAUACGACCUUUGGUGCCCUCAAUUCUAUAAUAUUUGACAAGAUUUAUAAUCAGGUGAAUUCAAGUAGUAAUUGUUUUCAUUGUCAUAAUUAUGAAGAGGCGGAGCUACUACUAUCUUGUCUCGUUUUAUUACGUAGGCAUCUUGUCGAGCUUUUCAAGUCCAAGGUGAAGAUGAGAUACGAUGGAGGCGAACGGGAGGGCCAACAAGAAUCAAGCAUUCAUACAGCUGAGAGGGAAGGAUUUAAAGUGUACUUUGCAACAAAUCAAACGGCACAUGAUUCGGAGCUUGCUAGAGAAAGAUAUCACGAAUUAAAGUUGAAUCCGAUUCGGGUCCGAGCUGCCAGGAGACCCGAAUUUGUUUUAAUCACCCAGACCGCAUCCGGAGUCCAAAUCAAGCAAACAAGUACUUGUUGGAAAGGUAAUUACAAGACCUUUCCAACGGAUCUGGCCCCAUCAAGAGAUUCGACUCGUGCUGACCGUGGCGGACAAAACAAGCAGACGGAUCUGUUUUUCUGUUUCCUAAAGAGUUGUUGUUUGUUAGGAAAGUUAGAGAUAGAGUUGGAUUUCGGACUCCUUAUUCAAGGUGGACGAAAAUAUCUCUCCCUCCUCCUUUAUAUACCCCAUGAGCCCCCCUAAGGAGCCUUGGGUUUUGUUUAGUUAAAAGUUAGCCAUCGCUACUACUUCGUGUAAUCGCGUGUGUCGGUUAGACCACCUGUUUUACCGCUUUCGGAACCCCAACUUAUCGUCUCGUUGAGACAUUGGUUUGAUAUAGUAUAUUCGCAAUUUUAGAUUGCAUCCGCUAUUUAUCUUGUUCUUGCUUGUUCUUCGAUUGCUUGCAGGAACAAAGACCUUCGUGGUCAGGUUGAUCGUGCCCCCGCGUGAUCAAUAACCCUUUGGAGUUGGUGUAUCGAUUGCUAAGGCGCUGCCUCCUAGGCCGUAGUCGGAUCGUCAACGUCACCUCCUACCCAAAUCGAGAGUUACCAAUCUCAUCGAAAGAUCGGGCCACCCGCACCCGUAUCACGUGGUAAUAUGCUCAAUAAUGCUAGUCCUAGCUGCUGGAGUCGAUAAGAACGAAUUACAGAAAUAAUCUAAGCCUAGAUACUGAAGAAGGUAGGAAUAGAUAGAUCAAAAGAUGGCACAACAAGUAAAUCCCUGGGAUUUUUUUUUCUUUUUUUUUCUUUUUGUGGCCUUCUGUUUGGCUUCUUAUUCUUUUCUUCUUCUUUUUUUUUUUCUUUUUUUUUAACCCCAGAAACUCACGCAAAAGAGGGACCGGAAAACUGUACGUCGGUCUACUGAAGAACAGCAAAGGCUGCAGUAAGAAAAAUUCAGAAAAAUAUGGAAAAAUAUGGGUUAGAAGGGUAUCGACACAAGCUUUCCAGCAAGGGCAAGAUCACUCAAAACGGAUGUCGGACGGUGGAGAAAACUGAGAAACACCGGGCUGCAGCGAUGCCGGAAAACGGAUGCAGAAACUUGGAAGCUCCGAAAGUCCACCUUACAAACCGAAUUUGAGGGUCAAAGUGCAGGGCAAAGCCCUGGAUAUUUCCUGAUGCGCCUCGUCGUGAGCUUUCCAAAAAGUACAAGAACGUUGAAAUCCGAGUUGGUACGCAAAAGAUACGCCCGUUUUACUGAACACGGGUCAAACCCACCCGAAACUAAAAUUCUACUCGGACUCGGGUCCGAAACUGACUCGAACUCUUUCUCUUUUUUUUUUCGUUUUUUUUUUCCUUCUUUCUUUCCUUUUUUUUUCAACUUUCCAAACAACUUUAUCUCUAAACAAAAUUCGAUCUAUGAUGAAACACUUUCCAAAAGCACUCCUUAUUGGACUCGGACUCGGAUUCGCGGCUGAAAACUAUAACUUGCCGACUCGAUGUAGGACUCGACGAGGGACUCGGUGUAGGACUCGAAGAGGGACUCGGUGUAGGACUCGAUGAGGGACUCGGUGUAGGACUCCAAGAGGGACUCGGUGUAGGACUCAAAGAGGGACUCGGUGUAGGACUCCAAGAGGGACUCGGUGUAGGACUCGAAGAGGGACUCGGUGUAGGACUCGAUGAGGGACUCGGUGUAGGACUCAAAGAGGGACUCGGUGGAAGAUAUGGUGGCGGCGGAAGAUUAUGGCGGUGGUGUGGCAGGAAGUUUGGCGGCGGAAGAUUGAUGAAGGAAACCUGCGUCACACGAAGAACAAGAAAACCAAAAGCAAGUUCGAUCUAGUAGAAAAAAAUCUGAAAAACGAUCCAAUCUAAUCCAGCAACUCGACACGAUUAAUGCAGCAAAGAUUCAACAAUGCAAAUACUAAUGUGAAAAUUGCAAGGCUCAGAUUGGUUCUAGGACAAGGUAACUAAUUCUAAUUUUUGUUUGGCUUUUUCUGGACGAUAGGUAAAAACAGAUCUAAACUACGGAUAAACUGGAAAAAUCUCACCGAGCAACCUUAAGCUCUGAUACCACGUGAUACGGGUGCGGGUGGCCCGAUCUUUCGAUGAGAUUGGUAACUCUCGAUUUGGGUAGGAGGUGACGUUGACGAUCCGACUACGGCCUAGGAGGCAGCGCCUUAGCAAUCGAUACACCAACUCCAAAGGGUUAUUGAUCACGCGGGGGCACGAUCAACCUGACCACGAAGGUCUUUGUUCCUGCAAGCAAUCGAAGAACAAGCAAGAACAAGAUAAAUAGCGGAUGCAAUCUAAAAUUGCGAAUAUACUAUAUCAAACCAAUGUCUCAACGAGACGAUAAGUUGGGGUUCCGAAAGCGGUAAAACAGGUGGUCUAACCGACACACGCGAUUACACGAAGUAGUAGCGAUGGCUAACUUUUAACUAAACAAAACCCAAGGCUCCUUAGGGGGGCUCAUGGGGUAUAUAAAGGAGGAGGGAGAGAUAUUUUCGUCCACCUUGAAUAAGGAGUCCGAAAUCCAACUCUAUCUCUAACUUUCCUAACAAACAACAACUCUUUAGGAAACAGAAAAACAGAUCCGUCUGCUUGUUUUGUCCGCCACGGUCAGCACGAGUCGAAUCUCUUGAUGGGGCCAGAUCCGUUGGAAAGGUCUUGUAAUUACCUUUCCAACAAGUACUUGUUUGCUUGAUUUGGACUUCGGAUGCGGUCUGGGUGAUUAAAACAAAUUCGGGUCUCCUGGCAGCUCGGACCCGAAUCGGAUUCAACUUUAAUUCGUGAUAUCUUUCUCUAGCAAGCUCCGAAUCAUGUGCCGUUUGAUUUGUUGCAAAGUACACUUUAAAUCCUUCCCUCUCAGCUGUAUGAAUGCUUGAUUCUUGUUGGCCCUCCCGUUCGCCUCCAUCGUAUCUCAUCUUCACCUUGGACUUGAAAAGCUCGACAAGAUGCCUACGUAAUAAAACGAGACAAGAUAGUAGUAGCUCCGCCUCUUCAUAAUUAUGACAAUGAAAACAAUUACUACUUG